rnacentral:sRNA from 1 species
UUGACAGAAGAUAGAGAGGUAGAACAUC